CAAGCUUCCUUUCCAACUUGAACCCGGCAGAAUGGCUCCCGCAAAGAAGGGUGGCGAGAAGAAAAAGGGCCGUUCUGCCAUCAACAAGGUGGUGACCCGAGAAUACACCAUCAACAUUCACAAGUGCAUCCAUGGAGUGGGCUUCAAGAAGCGUGCCCCUCGGGCACUCAAAGAGAUUCGGAAAUUUGCCAUGAAGGAGAUGGGAACUCCAGAUGUGCGCAUUGAUACAAGGCUCAACAAAGCUGUCUGGCCCAAAGGAAUAAGGAAUGUCCCAUACCGAAUCCGUGUGCGGCUGUCCAGAAAACGUAAUGAGGAUGAAGAUUCACCAAAUAAGUUCUAUACUUUGGUUACCUAUGUACCUGUUACCACUUUCAAAAGUAAGUUCUCCAUCCCAUAAAGCCAUUUAAGUUCAUCUAAAAAA